rnacentral:rRNA from 1 species
GAUGAACGCUGGCGGCGUGCCUAACACAUGCAAGUCGAACGAAGCGCUUCGAUUUCCUCGGAAUGAAAAAGUGACUGAGUGGCGGACGGGUGAGUAACGCGUGGGUAACCUGCCUCAUACAGGGGGAUAACAGUUAGAAAUGACUGCUAAUACCGCAUAAGCGCACAGUAUCGCAUGAUACAGUGUGAAAAACUCCGGUGGUAUGAGAUGGACCCGCGUCUGAUUAGCUAGUUGGUGGGGUAAUGGCUCACCAAGGCGACGAUCAGUAGCCGGACUGAGAGGUUGACCGGCACAUUGGGACUGAGAUACGGCCCAGACUCCUACGGGAGCAGCAGUGGGGAAUAUUGCGCAAUGGGGGAAACCCUGACGC